GUUCGGAUUGUAGUCUGCAACCCGACUACAUGAAGCUGGAAUCGCUAGUAAUCGCGGAUCAGAAUGCCGCGGUGAAUACGUUCCCGGGUCUUGUACACACCGCCCGUCACACCAUGGGAGUCGGAAAUGCCCGAAGCCGGUGACUCAACCUUUAAGGAGAGAGCCGUCGAAGGCAGGUCUGAUAACUGGGGUGAAGUCGUAACAAGGUAAC
rnacentral:rRNA from 1 species